rnacentral:lncRNA from 1 species
AUGAAGGUAUGGAGGAGGGCAGGAGUUGUUCCAGGUGCCAGAGCAGAAGUUCUCCUGUGGCCUGUGGAGAGGCCCCUGGUGGAGCAGAUAUCCAAGCUGCAGCCCAUGGAGGACCCCACACUGAAGCAGUUCAUGAAGGACUGUGUCCUGUGCUCCUGUGCUAAGUUAAGCUUUGCCUUCCGUGCCUGAUUUUUCUUGAUACCCUUUGUUCUCAGCAUCACUGUUCCUAUACUAUUCUCUCCUAUGGCUCAAGUGGGAUCUCUGUGUUAUCAAGUGAGUGAUGAACAGAUUUGAUAACUAGGGAAAGGGGAAGGGGGGAUGACUUAGGGAGUGCUGCCUUCCCUGCUCCAUCCUGGAGUCGGCAG